ACCUGCCUGGGAGGGGUAUGUGUGUGUGUGUGUGUGUGUGUGUGUGUUUGGGAGAACAGAUCUUCACUCAUCCAAACAC
rnacentral:miRNA from 1 species